CACAUGCAAGUCGAGGGGCAUCAGGAAGAAAGCUUGCUUUCUUUGCUGGCGACCGGCGCACGGGUGAGUAACACGUAUCCAACCUGCCGAUGACUCGGGGAUAGCCUUUCGAAAGAAAGAUUAAUACCCGAUGGCAUAUCUGAAAGGCAUCCUUCAGCUAUUAAAGAAUUUCGGUCAUUGAUGGGGAUGCGUUCCAUUAGGUUGUUGGCGGGGUAACGGCCCACCAAGCCAUCGAUGGAUAGGGGUUCUGAGAGGAAGGUCCCCCACAUUGGAACUGAGACACGGUCCAAACUCCUACGGGAGGCAGCAGUGAGGAAUAUUGGUCAAUGGACGAGAGUCUGAACCAGCCAAGUAGCGUGAAGGAUGACUGCCCUAUGGGUUGUAAACUUCUUUUAUACGGGAAUAAAGUUAGGCACGUGUGCCUUUUUGUAUGUACCGUAUGAAUAAGGAUCGGCUAACUCCGUGCCAGCAGCCGCGGUAAUACGGAGGAUCCGAGCGUUAUCCGGAUUUAUUGGGUUUAAAGGGAGCGUAGGCGGAUGCUUAAGUCAGUUGUGAAAGUUUGCGGCUCAACCGUAAAAUUGCAGUUGAUACUGGGUGUCUUGAGUACAGUAGAGGCAGGCGGAAUUCGUGGUGUAGCGGUGAAAUGC
rnacentral:rRNA from 1 species